CGGAGGGUGCAAGCGUUAUCCGGAUUCACUGGGUUUAAAGGGAGCGUAGGAGGGCAGGUAAGUCAGUGGUGAAAUCUUCGAGCUUAACUCGGAAACUGCCGUUGAUACUAUCUGUCUUGAAUCCCGUGGAGAUGAGCGGAAUAUGUCAUGUAGCGGUGAAAUGCUUAGAUAUGACAUAGAACACCAAUUGCGAAGGCAGCUCGUUACACGAAGAUUGACUCUGAGGCUCGAAAGCGUGGGGAUCAAACAGGAUUAGAUACCCUGGUAGUCCACGCCCUAAACGAUGGAUACUCGACAUACGCGAUACACUGUGUGUGUCUGAGCGAAAGCAUUAAGUAUCCCACCUGGGAAGUACGACCGCAAGGUUG
rnacentral:rRNA from 1 species